rnacentral:rRNA from 1 species
UACGGGGUGUGCAAGCGUUAUCCGGAAUCACUGGGUUUAAAGGGUGCGUAGGCUGCUUGGUAAGUCAGAGGUGAAAGCCCGCAGCUUAACUGCGGAACUGCCUUUGAUACUGCCGAGCUUGAAAGAGGUUGAGGUCAGCGGAACGUGACAUGUAGCGGUGAAAUGCAUAGAUAUGUCACAGAACACCAAUCGCGAAGGCAGCUGGGUGGGCCUACUUUGACGCUGAGGCACGAAAGCGUGGGGAGCGAACAGG